AGAAGGUGUCAAAGCUCUGUGAUAGAUAGAUCAGCAUUGUUCUGCUCCUUACCUUUUCCACUUCAAACAGACUGACUAGUCAUGAGAAAUUGGCUGAUCCUUCAUGUUCUGGCUGCAUGCUGCUUUGGGUGCAGAGCAGAAGAGAGUGUAAUACAGCCAACAGAAGAUGUAAUGGUCGUAGAAGGACACCCAACAACACUCAGUUGUACAUUUGAUACCACUGAUCUAUCACCAUAUCUCUUCUGGUACAAACAACAAGCAAAUGGCAAACCCAUGUUUAUGCUGAGAGAGGAUACAUUUGGAACUGGGGAAACUGCUACUGAGUUCAGGGAGAGAUUUCAUGCACGUCUGAAUGUCACAGCAAAGUCAGUCCCCUUGAUGAUCCAGAGGUUGCAGCUGUCUGACUCUGCUGUGUACUACUGUGCUCUGAAGCCCACUGUGACAACAGGAUAUUCAGCCCUCUUACAGAAACUACAAGUUUCACAUGUGUCCAUAGAAACAUUCAGUACCAGUGAAAAGUUGGGACAAAAGCACAAUAUGCAUUUCAAUAUACUUUAUGUACAGAAGUAGAUCUGAAUUAUUUACUCUGUAGGCUACACAAGUGUUUGUUCAUUAUUUUUAAAAGAAUACGUGUAUGUUUUCACAACAUAUCAGAAAAAUAAGUUUAUCAUACAUACUUCAUGGAACAUUUAUGUCAUUGAAAAUUGCUUUAGGCUACUUUCCAUUUUAUGUGAGCUAGACGUAAGCUUUUUACUUUGACUAAUGAAAUGCAAAGAGUGCUUAUAUCUAAUACUGAUGAGGUAAUAUUGACCAAUACAUUUCUAUACAAUCUUCCCUGUCUCUAAACAGGCUCCUCCUUCAUGUCUGUCAGUUGAUGGUGAUAUACAGGCUGAGAUGGACAUGGAAGAGAGAGAGAGGAUCUCUACCUCUUACUGUAACUCAGUCACUCUGUGUGUUCUGUAUAACCAUGUUACUCUGUCUGAUCAUCUGGCUGGUUCUUGAUGUAUUCUGCUUCGAGUGCACAGCAGACCAAGUUCAACAGCAACCAGGAGGUGUGAUUGCUACAGAAGGAGGACUGGUAACACUGAGUUGUCAAUAUAACACCAGUGCUAAUAAUGCAUAUCUAUAUUGGU